rnacentral:rRNA from 1 species
AUUGAACGCUGGCGGCAGGCUUAACACAUGCAAGUCGAGCGAGCGGCGGACGGGUGAGUAAUGUCUGGGAAACUGCCUGACGGAGGGGGAUAACUACUGGAAACGGUAGCUAAUACCGCAUACCAUCAGAUGUGCCCAGAUGGGAUUAGCUAGUGGGUGGGGUAAUGGCUCACCUAGGCGACGCUCCCUAGCUGGUCUGAGAGGAUGACCGGCCACACUGGGACUGAGACACGGCCCAGACUCCUACGGGAGGCAGCAGUGGGGAAUAUUGCGCAAUGGGCGCAAGCCUGAUGCAGCCAUGCCGCGUGUGUGAAGAAGGCCUUCGGGUUGUAAAGCACUUUCAGCGAGGAGGCGUUACUCGCAGAGGAAGCACCGGCUAACUCCGUGCCAGCAGCCGCGGUAAUAC